rnacentral:rRNA from 1 species
GUCCAUGGUUAUACUUUCCUGAAUGCACCUGAGCUUAUCUGAUCUUGGAAGCUAAACAGGGUUGGGCCUAGUUAGUACUUGGAUGGGGAAUCACCUAGGAAUAGCAGGUGAUUUAGGCA